rnacentral:rRNA from 1 species
AGACUGAGAAUGACGAGUAGCGGAAUUCGUAGUGUAGCGGUGAAAUGCAUAGAUAUUACGAAGAACUCCAAUAGUGUAGACUGCUUACCAGACCAUAUCUGACACUAAGGCACGAAAGUGUGGGUAUCAAACAGGAUUAGAUACCCUGGUAGUCCACACAGUAAACGAUGAAUACUAACUGUUUGCGAUAUACAGCAAGUGGUCGAGCGAAAGCGUUAAGUAUUCCACCUGGGAAGUAUGCCGGCAACGGUGAAACUCAAAGGAAUUGACGGGGGCCCGCACAAGCGGAGGAACAUGUGGUUUAAUUCGAUAAUACGCGAGGAACCUUACCCGGGCUCGAACGAUAUUUGAAUACAUCCGAAAAGAUGUAGCUAGCAAUAGCAAAUACCGAGGUGCUGCAUGGUUGUCGUCAGCUCGUGCCGUGAGGUGUCGACUUAAGUGUCAUAACGAGCGCAACCCUUACCGAUAGUUACCAUCAGAUAAUGCUGGGGACUCUAUUGGGACUGCCACCGUAAGGUGUGAGGAAGGAGAGGAUGACGUCAAAUCAGCACGGCCCUUAUGUCCGGGGCGACACACGUGUUACAAUGGGAGAAACAAAGGGUCGCUACCUGGCAACAGGAUGCUAAUCUCGAAAAUCUCUCUCAGUUCGGAUUGGAGUCUGCAACUCGACUCCAUGAAGCUGGAUUCGCUAGUAAUCGCACAUCAGCCAUGGUGCGGUGAAUACGUUCCCGGGCCUUGUACACACCGCCCGUCAAGCCAUGGAAGCUGGAAGUACCUGAAGUAUGUAACUGAAAAGAGCGUCCU